ACGAUAACUUUUUUAUUUUUCUUUAAAAUAAAACAACUUUUUCCUUCCAAACAGAGAGCACUCUCCCAAUUUGCCGAUGGCGCUGCUGUUGGUGGUUCCGAAGUCGAAAUUUUCCCUUCUGUCUUCGGGUAUCGAUGGAUCCUCGUUGUGUUCGUCACUAGCGGCCAAUUUGUCACGGAAAAGGUAUUUGGUUUGCUUCCCCAUGAUGGUGGGUGGUGCUAAUAUGUGCCAUGGCAGUGAUAUGAGUUGGACAAUGGUGACUGGCUCUAGCCGCUGAUAAGGGUCGUCGGUGUGGCCGCUGAUGAGGGGCGUGAGAUUGGAGAUGUGUGCAAUCUUGAAAGUGUUCGAGGAAUAUCACCCUCAACCAAGGGCUUUGUUGUAAGAAAUGGGUGGGGAACAACAAAGUAACUUUAGUUUUUAGAAUAUUAUUAUGCGGUUUGUAUGCUGUUCAUUAUUUCUAAAGCAGAAUCUAGUUUAGUCAAAUGAGCACAAUUCUCUUAAACAAGUUAACUUAUUUAGAAGGGAGGUAGGAAAUAAGACGAUGUCCAUUCGAUGUCUAACAGUGCAUUUGAUGGAUCAUAGAUGGCUUUAGAGGAGAUAAUUAGAGAAAAAUGCACCCGAUGCAUGUAUAUUGACGGGCAACAAUUAUUGGGAACUUGCGGAUAUUAUGCUAAAGAUUCAUACUUUCUAAUAUUCUCAUUUUGAAAACAUCACAUUAGCUUAGUAUAGGUAGUAGAUCAACCUACAGAAAAAAGGAAAUAAUAAAGGAAAUCUGAACAGUUCUUAUCAAAAAGAUAUAGAAAUUUUUAGAGGUUAUUUUCAGAUAUGAUGAGUUUUUUAUUUCAUUUUUUGUUUUAUUUCACUAAAGCUUCUAACUGAGAAUAUGCAUUUUAUUUAUGAUAGUUGACCUGAAUAUUUAUGAUAUUUAUCAUGUUUUUAUUUCUCAUCUGCUAUUUCGGUUUUCCCUAUGUUUCUAAACAUAAUUUAUACUUGUGACAUUCGUCAUCUAUGCCAAUAAGAAA